GGCAUUCUGGUAAGAACAGUUCUUACUGUAUGUCAGUAGAAAAUGCAAAAGCCUCCUUUGACUUUUGAAGAAUUCCUCCAGUCUCAAGACUUGAAGGACUGGCCAAGAGAUGUCUUUUUGGAUGAGCCUUAUUCUUUGGUGGAUAACUUAAGAAAAGACUGUUCCAUCCGUGCUGUCUCUAAGAGUCUGUAUGAACAUGCUCCAUUGACCUUCAGUUCACUCUCAGAUUUGGAGAAGAGAAUGAACACAUGCCUUAUUGUACUAAAGAAACAUGCUGAAAGAAUAUUUUCAUUACAGUGUGGACCAGCGUCUCUUGAAGAACAGCUAAUUGCUCCUGAACAGAAGAUUCCUACUGAGCAAACUGAUUCAGAAGAACUUCUGACUUGGAAGAGUGAGAUGAGGAAAACAAAGAUUGCCAAACACGUUACUGAGGAGUCAAAAGGUAGAAAUGUAGAAAGUUGUCAUUACCCUGGUUUCAAGGCAAAACACCUUUUAGAAUUACCAAGACAUUUGGAAGCUUCAAAACUUUGA
ensembl:lncRNA